rnacentral:rRNA from 1 species
AGGAUGAACGCUAGCGGCAGGCCUAAUACAUGCAAGUCGAGGGGGAUUGGAGAGCUUGCUUUCCAUGAGACCGGCGCACGGGUGCGUAACGCGUAUGCAACCUGCCUUGAUCAGGGGGAUAGCCCGGAGAAAUCCGGAUUAACACCGCAUAAAACCACAGCACAGCAUUGUGCAAUGGUCAAAUAUUCAUAGGAUCAAGAUGGGCAUGCGUGCCAUUAGCUAGUUGGUAGGGUAACGGCCUACCGAAGGCGACGAUGGCUAGGGGAUCUGAGAGGAUCGGCCCCCAGACUGGUACUGAGACACGGACCAGACUCCUAGGGAGCAGCAGUAAGAUAUGGUCAAGUGGGGACUAACCCGUGAACC